rnacentral:tRNA from 1 species
GUUACUUUGGCCGAGUGGUUAAGGCAUGCGCCUGCUAAGUACAUGGGGUUUCCACGUGAGAGUUUAAAUCUCUCAGGCAACG